GUGUGUCUAAAGCCAAGCAGGACAAGAGCCAAGGCCUGCCCACCCCAGCCAUGGCGGGGUCCAGCGUGGAGGAGGCGGCCGAGGAAUCGCUCUCCUAAGGACAGGAUUGCAUUCCUCACCUCUCCUUGACAACCUACCCUGCCCGCGGACCAGAAACACACCACGCAGCAAAGAUCACAACUCCCAGAGCCCAGACCGACUGUUUCAUCGACCGCUAAAAGCAUCCCCAGAACCAGAACAAGUGGGCAGCAGCCGGGUGCCUGAAAGAAGGAGAAAGGGUAAGUUCCAUGGAAAGUGAAAGGUGAGGCAGCUUUCCAGCGCUCACUCCCUCUGCUUGCCAAAAUAGCAAUGCCCGGCCCACGCCUCGCUCUGACUUCAGCGGAAGAUGCGCUCGUUUCCCAGGAGAGCUUCCUCUCGCAACGCAGAUGUGCUGCACUGAGGCAAUCGCCUUCCGUUGCGUAACGCAACCCGGAAUUAAACACUAUAUGCUAUUCGGUACAUUUCUAAAAUGUAAACCAGAAGCUAUAGCCAAGCUCCACGACGCUGCCAAGAAUGUGAACGCUAUGAUUCGAGCGGGGAAGAACACAUCCUCCUUCCUCCCACAGCCAGCUCUCAGUCGCAGUUUUGCCCGACUCUUUUGUAGUUGUCAGUAAACUAUCGAGUCACACAUCUCUACGGCCUCCAUCUCCAUCUUUGGCGACUGGGGGGACCCCCGGCUCGGGACCUCGUGCUGCCGCCCACAGACCAUCUGGGAAGAAGCCAGCAGGUGGCUGCACCAAGGUACGUGGGGCUGAGGCCACACAGUGCUACUCUUCAGAAGAACACAGGUCUUGUCUAGAAUAUAUCAUGCGUAGCCCAGGUUUCCACAGCGGAAAACUCACCGAGGGAAUACUGUUUGCUCAUACCGGCAACGUAUCCCAAAAUUACAGUAAUUUACAACCUCAUUUCCAUUGACAAAAGAAAUAAUAUCAUUCUCUUCUGACAAAUAUCGGUACACAGAGAAAGUAAUGAAUAAAAUGUCUACAAACAGGUAUCAAAUAAAGUAACUAUCAAUCACCGUAACCAAGUUUUAAUUAAAUCACACAUUAAGUAAAAGAACGCUGAAGUAAAACAAGCCACAUAAUCUGAAAUCAAAAUAAAAAUCUGUCAAUCACUCCGAAGCAGGAAAAGCACGAGUCAGAGAAUUCCAAUACCACAACCUGUUAACUGAACGGUCAUGUAAUUGUUACUUGGCAAACUCCAAAUGUGCUAAACGAAGCCAAACGCGGGGAUUCGGCAAAGCAUUGAAGCCUGUGCCAAAGCACAUCUGUAUUUUUAACAUGUUUUUACUGCGACAGAGAGCUUAAAACUGUGGGAGCAUUCACACACACCUCUACAAUGAUUUAUUUCUAAGAGAGAGAGAGAGAGCACUCAGAAAGCUAUCUGCACCGUCCACAUUUCAGUAUUACAAACCAAGUCAGCUUUUAGCCUAAGUUGCAGACGCAUUUCUGGAGACGCAUUAGAAAGAACCCCAAGGAUUAGUUGUAACACAAAAGGCAGAGGGAGUUGCCUGCCGUCAUCCUGCCAGUUUGUGGAAUGGAAGUUAGCAAAUGAGGCAUGAAAAGAUGUGAGAAAA
ensembl:lncRNA